GUCCGCCUCACCGCGUGCACUGGUCCGGCCGGGCCUUUCCUCCUGGGGAGCCGCAUGCCCUUCACUGGGUGUGUCGGGGAACCAGGACUUUUACUUUGAAAAAAUUAGAGUGUUCAAAGCAGGCCUAUGCUCGAAUACAUUAGCAUGGAAUAAUAGAAUAGGACGUGUGGUUCUAUUUUGUUGGUUUCUAGGACCGCCGUAAUGAUUAAUAGGGAUAGUCGGGGGCAUCAGUAUUCAAUUGU
rnacentral:rRNA from 1 species